UACGUAGGGUGCGAGCGGUAAUCGGAUUUACUGGGCGUAAAGCGUGCGCAGGCGGCCCGUUAAGACAGGUGUGAAAUCCCUGGGCUCAACCCAGGAAUUGCGCUUGUGACUGGCGGGCUAGAGUUCGGGAGAGGGGGGUGGAAUUCCUGGUGUAGCAGUGAAAUGCGUAGAGAUCAGGAGGAACACCGAUGGCGAAGGCAGCCCCCUGGGCCUGUACUGACGCUCAUGCACGAAAGCGUGGGGAGCAAACAGU
rnacentral:rRNA from 1 species